UAGCUCAGUCGGUAGAGCAUGAGACUCUUAAUCUCAGGGUCUUGGGUUCGUGCCCCAC
rnacentral:tRNA from 1 species